CGGUGUUUAACUGGCGUGAUGUGGGGCGUCCUACCGGUGGGCUUAGCCUCGCGAGGGGCGGCCCAACUAAUAUCCCGUCGCGGUGCUCUUUACUGAGUGUCGAGUCGGGCCGGUACGUUUACUUUGAACAAAUUAGAGUGCUUAAAGCAGGCUAUCCUCGCCUGAAUACUGCGUGCAUGGAAUAAUGGAAUAGGACCUCGGUUCUAUUUUGUUGGUUUUCGGAACCCCGAGGUAAUGAUUAAUAGGGACAGAUGGGGGCAUUCGUAUUGCGACGUUAGAGGUGAAAUUCUUGGAUCGUCGCAAGACGGACAGAAGCGAAAGCAUUUGCCAAAAAUGUUUUCAUUAAUCAAGAACGAAAGUUAGAGGUUCGAAGGCGAUCAGAUACCGCCCUAGUUCUAACCAUAAACGAUGCCAGCUAGCGAUCCGCCGAAGUUCCUCCGAUGACUCGGCGGGCAGCUUCCGGGAAACCAAAGCUUUUGGGUUCCGGGGGAAGUAUGGUUGCAAAGCUGAAACUUAAAGGAAUUGACGGAAGGGCACCACCAGGAGUGGAGCCUGCGGCUUAAUUUGACUCAACACGGGAAACCUCACCAGGCCCAGACACCGGAAGGAUUGACAGAUUGAUAGCUCUUUCUUGAUUCGGUGGGUGGUGGUGCAUGGCCGUUCUUAGUUGGUGGAGCGAUUUGUCUGGUUAAUUCCGAUAACGAACGAGACUCUAGCCUGCUAAAUAGGCGUACCUUAUGGUAUCGCGAAGGCCCCCGGCUUCGGCCGGUGGGUUUUUACUACCAACGUACAAACAAAUCUUCUUAGAGGGACAGGCGG
rnacentral:rRNA from 1 species